UACGUAGGGUGCAAGCGUUGUCCGGAAUUAUUGGGCGUAAGGAGCUCGUAGGCGGUCUGUCGCGUCGGCUGUGAAAACCCGAGGCUCAACCUCGGGCCUGCAGUCGAUACGGGCAAACUAGAGUACUGGCAGGGGAGACUGGAAUUCCUGGUGUAGCGGUGAAAUGCGACAGAUAUCAGGGAGGGAACACCGGUGGCGAAGGCGGGU
rnacentral:rRNA from 1 species